ensembl:lncRNA
AUGAGAAGGAGAAGAAACCGCGAGAUAAUUUUUGUCAUCUGUGAUCUUAUUUUAUUCCACGAGGCUGGAGAUGAUGAUGGGUUUGAUCGUCUUAUCGGCUGCUGCUGGUCUCUUUUAUGCAGCUUAUUUGAUUAUUUUGGAUCAGAGUUAUCCUCAGUAAUCAGCUGGAAUCCUAGACAGUGUUUCUGUCCUUCAGAGAGAGACAGAACUGAACGAAGCGCUUUGGAGGAGUUACAUUAAGUGUGACUCACGACUCUUCGAGUGCUUUCAAGCGUUUCUAAAGCGAGUUCUGCACACGUUGGACGACACGGGGAAGUUUUCCAGGCGUUUCCAUAGAAACCAAAGUUUUCCUGCUGGCUCUCCAUCAGUCCGUGAGUCACGGCGCUCCAGUGGAGUCGUGUGUGUUUCCAGUCACACUGCUUUGGGAUUUUAUUGAUUCAUAUCGACUCUGAUUACAGGAACAAAUGAGCAGUGACUCUGGUCCGUCUCUCUGUCCGCUGCUCACUCCUUCGCUCAGGAAUACUGCAGGAAGAGUGGAGCCUGACGCUCGUCUGACGGAUCACAUGAUGUUUGCAUGUAUUUGUGUGGAGGCAGAUAUUACUGUAGAUGAAGAACAAACAAUGUUUUACUUGCGUGUUUCCAUUUGAAAAGGAAACAAUACCACACUUUGUUUGCCAAAAAAAUAAAAAGGGAUUGUCAUUUAUUUUAUGAUUUUUUUUUUUUUAAUUAAAAAAUCCAGAAAAAAAUUAAAACACAGAAAAAUUAAACUAUUAGUUGAAUAGACAUGCUUUUUGAUUAUUCAAAUUUAAUUAAAAUAUUAAGAUGGAAAUCAGAAAAAUUAAAAUGGAAAACAGAAUGUGGGGAAAAUUUUCAACUUUUAAUAUUUGUAUACGAUUCGUGACUUCAUUUAUUUAGACAUGAUUUUUGAUUACUAAAAUUGAAUUAAACUAUUACAACAGAAUCCACAAAAAUCUAAAAAUAAAAACAUGGACUUUGGGGGGAAAUUAAACAAAAUGUUUUUUUUAUAUAUACUUUUGUUAACUUUUUAUAAAUUGAUGUUCAG